UACGUAGGGGGCAAGCGUUGUCCGGAAUUAUUGGGCGUAAAGCGCGCGCAGGCGGUCCUUUAAGUCUGAUGUGAAAGCCCACGGCUCAACCGUGGAGGGUCAUUGGAAACUGGGGGACUUGAGUGCAGAAGAGGAGAGUGGAAUUCCACGUGUAGCGGUGAAAUGCGUAGAGAUGUGGAGGAACACCAGUGGCGAAGGCGACUCUCUGGUCUGUAACUGACGCUGAGGCGCGAAAGCGUGGGGAGCAAACAGG
rnacentral:rRNA from 1 species